rnacentral:rRNA from 1 species
UACGAAGGGGGCUAGCGUUGCUCGGAAUUACUGGGCGUAAAGCGCACGUAGGCGGCUUUCUAAGUCGGAGGUGAAAUCCUGGAGCUCAACUCCAGAACUGCCUUCGAUACUGGAGAGCGUUGAGUCCGGGAGAGGAUGAGUGGAAGUUCCUGGUGGUAGCGGUGGAAUGCGCAGAUAUCAGGAGGAACACCAAUAGCGAAGGCAGCUCGCUGGGACGUACUGACACUGAGGCGACGAAAGCGUGGGGAGCGAACAGG